UGGCAUGAUCAUCAUGGUUGAAGCUGUGCCCAAAGCCUGGCCCUUGGCCUGAGGGGAAGUUGAGACAAUCAGCAGUAUUGGGAGAUGAGGCAAAGGUGUUCGUGGGGGCUCUCAGGCAGUGGGAACAACGAUGUGAGCCUUCACAGGGUUGCUCUAGCUUUGCUCCCUGGGAAGCAGGCUCUGAGAUGAAGAUCAGCAUGCAGGACUUUUGGGAGGGAGUGCUCUUGGAAUCAACUCCUAUAGGAGAGGAAAGAAAGAAAGGAUGCAGAAUUGGGAGGAGAAAAGUGGAGCUGUGAUUCAUUCCCAACAGAAGCCUCAGCCAAUCCCGCAGGAAGUUCUGAAGAUGGGAUGGUCCUUCACCUGAUCUGGUGCUGGUUGGCCUGAGGGGAAGUUGAGACAAUCAGCAGUAUUGGGAGAUGAGGCAAAGGUGUUCGUGGGGGCUCUCAGGCAGUGGGAACAACGAUGUGAGCCUUCACAGGGUUGCUCUAGCUUUGCUCCCUGGGAAGCAGGCUCUGAGAUGAA
rnacentral:lncRNA from 1 species